rnacentral:rRNA from 1 species
AACGAACGCUGGCGGCAGGCUUAACACAUGCAAGUCGAACGCACCUUUCGGGGUGAGUGGCAGACGGGUGAGUAACGCGUGGGAACGUGCCCUUCGGUUCGGAAUAACCCAGGGAAACUUGGGCUAAUACCGGAUACGUGCGAGAGCAGAAAGAUUUAUCGCUGAAGGAUCGGCCCGCGUCUGAUUAGCUAGUUGGUAGGGUAAUGGCCUACCAAGGCGACGAUCAGUAGCUGGUCUGAGAGGAUGAUCAGCCACAUUGGGACUGAGACACGGCCCAAACUCCUACGGGAGGCAGCAGUGGGGAAUAUUGGACAAUGGGCGCAAGCCUGAUCCAGCCAUGCCGCGUGAGUGAUGAAGGCCUUAGGGUUGUAAAGCUCUUUCGUCCGGGACGAUAAUGACGGUACCGGAAGAAGAAGCCCCGGCUAACUUCGUGCCAGCAGCCGCCGUAACAC